CCUACGGGAGGCAGCAGUGGGGAAUAUUGUACAAUGGGGGAAACCCUGAUGCAGCGACGCCGCGUGAGUGAAGAAGUAAUUCGUUAUGUAAAGCUCUAUCAGCAGGGAAGAAAAUGACGGUACCUGAGUAAGAAGCCCCGGCUAACUACGUGCCAGCAGCCGCGGUAAUACGUAGGGGGCAAGCGUUAUCCGGAUUUACUGGGUGUAAAGGGAGCGUAGACGGCAGUGCAAGUCUGGAGUGAAAGGCGGGGGCUCAACCCCCGGACUGCUCUGGAAACUGUACGGCUUGAGUGCAGGAGAGGUAAGUGGAAUUCCUAGUGUAGCGGUGAAAUGCGUAGAUAUUAGGAGGAACACCAGUGGCGAAGGCGGCUUACUGGACUGUAACUGACGUUGAGGCUCGAAAGCGUGGGGAGCAAACAGGAUUAGAUACCCCUGUAGUC
rnacentral:rRNA from 1 species